CCUACGGGAGGCAGCAGUGGGGGAUAUUGCACAAUGGGGGAAACCCUGAUGCAGCGACGCCGCGUGAGUGAAGACGUAUUUCGGUAUGUAAAGCUCUAUCAGCAGGGAAGAAAAUGACCGUACCUGACCAAGAAGCCCCGGCUAACUACGUGCCAGCAGCCGCGGUAAUACGUAGGGGGCACGCGUUAUCCGGAUUUACUGGGUGUAAAGGGAGCGUAGACGGCAUCACAAGUCUGGAGUGAAAUGUCGGGGCUUAACCCCGGAACUGCUUUGGAAACUGUGCAGCUAGAGUGCAGGAGAGGUAAGUGGAAUUCCUAGCGUAGCGGUGAAAUGCGUAGAUAUUAGGAGGAACACCAGUGGCGAAGGCGGCUUACUGGACUGUAACUGACGUUGAGGCUCGAAAGCGUGGGGAGCAAACAGGAUUAGAUACCCGAGUAGUC
rnacentral:rRNA from 1 species